UACGUAGGGGGCAAGCGUUGUCCGGAUUUAUUGGGCGUAAAGACCGUGUAGGCGGCUGGGUAGGUCCGUUGUGAAAACUCGAGGCUCAACCUCGAGACGCCGAUGGAAACCCUCCAGCUAGAGUCCGGAAGAGGAGAGUGGAAUUCCUGGUGUAGCGGUGAAAUGCGCAGAUAUCAGGAAGAACACCCGUGGCUAAGGCGGCUCUCUAGUACGGUACUGACGCUGAGACGCGAAAGCGUGGGGAGCGAACAGG
rnacentral:rRNA from 1 species